rnacentral:rRNA from 1 species
CCUACGGGGGGCUGCAGUCGAGAAUCUUCGGCAAUGGGGGAAACCCUGACCGAGCGACGCCGCGUGUGGGAUGAAGGCCCUUGGGUUGUAAACCACUGUCAGAGGGGAUGGGUUAAAGCCAGAGGAAGCACGGGCUAAGUUCGUGCCAGCAGCCGCGGUAAGACGAACUGUGCAAACGUUAUUCGGAAUCACUGGGCUUGAAGAGUGCGUAGGCGGUUUUGUAAGUAGGGUGUGAAAGCCCCCGGCUCAACCGGGGAAUUGCGCUCUAAACUGCAAGGCUGGAGUGAGGUAGGGGUGUGUGGAACUUCCAGUGGAGCGGUGAAAUGUGUUGAUAUUGGAAGGAACGCCGGUGGCGAAAGCGACACACUGGACCUUUCUGACGCUGAGGCACGAAAGCCAGGGGAGCAAACGGGAUUAGAUACCCCGGUAGUC